UAUCAGCAGGAAGCAAACAGGGGAGGUGACAGAGAGCAAGAGAGAACUCUGCAGUGGGAGAAAGCUCAUUCACUUCAACCACAGCUGAGACAAACCAUGCCCAGUGCACCACAGUUUCCAGGGUGGAGAGCCCACAGGAGGCCACCCUGGGAUCCAAGGAAGAAGAGGAAAAAACAAGCCAUGCUGCUUAGUGGCUCUCCCAGGGGCACUGAGCAUGGAACAAACACAUUUUAAUUGUGUUCACUGCACUGCAAGACACUUAAAAAACAAUUAUGUGUCACUACACAAAACUAAACGUUACCUCAUAGGGGGGAUUACCAUGCAGUGCUGGUUUUAAAAAAAAAAGUACCAGAAAAUGCUGAAACUAAUUCC
ensembl:lncRNA